rnacentral:rRNA from 1 species
GAUUCCCCUAGUAACGGCGAGUGAAGAGGGAAAAGCCCAGCACCGAAGCCUGCGGCAGAUUUGCUGUUAGGCAAUGUGGUGUUUGGGUCGGCUCGUGGGAUUGCCACUCCACUCGAAGUCCAGCAUUGAGUAUGGUCACUGGAUUUGGCCCAGAGAGGGUGAAAGGCCCGUACGGGUGGAGGUUCAGACAUGUAAGGCAGUUCACCAGGUCGACCUUAGAGUCGGGUUGUUUGAGAAUGCAGCCCAAAGCGGGUGGUAAACUCCAUCCAAGGCUAAAUACAGACACGAGUCCGAUAGCGAACAAGUACCGUGAGGGAAAGUUGAAAAGUACUCUGAAGAGAGAGUAAACAGUACGUGAAACCGCAUGCAGGUAAACGGGUGGCGUCAAGCUGCAAGCCCAGAGGAUUCAGCCGAUUAGGAUGUUGUGUAUGCGCCUGGCGCAUCUAUCAGUCGGAGUAUGAUUGGAUAGUCCACCGGUAAACGGUGGGCCUGGCCGCAAGGUCGGGAUAUGUGUACCGGGUGGGUGCCGGAGCAUGCUAUCCGUCUGAGGACUGUCUAAUCGGUGCACUUUCUCUGUGGUGAACACCACGACCGGUGGUAUUGCCAGUCUGCUGUGUCCAAGUCGUGUUUGGUAGGUCCUUGUGGCCAACUGGAUGCGAUCACAGGCAAAUUCAGUAAACGGCGUAGGGAUGUUUCGGCAUCUUUGCGUGUUAUCGGCUACUGGUUGUCAACGGGCCUGCUUGGUGUUUGUUGUAACCGGCAUCAAGUGGUCUGGUGGGACAUGGUGGUAAGAAUAACUGUGCAAGGCACCGGAGUUAUCGGCCUCAAAUGCAUGCUGCACCCACGUUACAAGUGGUGUCUAUAAUGACAGUGUUGUUGCUGUCUGCUUGGUGUUGGGUCUGAUUGUCGUGUCGCCUGCAUAAAGUAGGCCCGGCAGUGGCUUGACUCAAGAUGGGCAGUGGAUGAUGCUGUCGGUGUGGCAUGUGGUGGGCCUAAUAGUCAGUGGUGUAGUGGA